rnacentral:misc_RNA from 1 species
UUUUUUUUUUUUUUUUUUCACUAUUACCUGUUUAUCGAUAUGGCUUCCUCUUCAAUUAUUUGGAUCCAUAAUUGUUAUUCAAAUAUUAUUGAAUAAUUAUAUGCUUUUCUUCAAUGCUGAUUAUCUUCAUCCCUUUGUUGCAUGGUGCAUCGAAUGUGUUGCUACAAGAUAAACUUACAUAUUGGGGCUGCUUUUGUCAUCCUAAAUGAGGGGAAUCUAUAAAACCUGCGAUGGUGUUUUGUGUAACUUACACUAUGGUCAUCAUUUUAAGUGUCCAUAGUUGAUUAUAAAGGGAUUUGGAACAAUGUUACUUGAAUUGGAAAAGGACAAAAAGUUCAUUUUUAAAAAUGAGAGGUUCCCAAGGUCUAAACCUUCUGGUUUUGCUUUUUGGCCUCAUGUCCUUAAAGAACUCAACACUUUAGCAUAACUGUCAAUUGUAGCCCCAUUUUCAAUUAUGUCAAUUGUAACCACAACUUCGGAGUGUUAGUAUAAAUUGUUGGCAUCCCUUGAUUUAUUUUAUCUGCUUAAAACAAGGAAUUAUAUAGCUUCGAUUCUUAACAUUUUUGGGUAAAUCUUCAAGCAUCUAGUCUUUCAUUAUAGCUGCAAAUUACAAGUGGUAAACUGUCAUAAUGAUCAAAAUUUUCUGUCUAUUUUAUCUGAAUGAAAUGUAUAAUCUUUGGGGUGAGGCUAGAUUGUUGGCAUUUCAGGAUAGAAGAUUGUUCUAAGAGUGAAAAUUUCAACUGAAGCUUAAGACAUUGACCAGAUAUGAUUAGUUUAUUGGAAUGUUUAUGGAAUAUGAACUGUUAUAUCUUUUUGUUUAAUCUGCACUCUUUAGUAUAUGGUUUAUUUUCAAGCUUGGUGUACAUGCACUCAUAACUAUGAAAUGGAUUUGAUACCAAGUGUCUCCGCACUCAUACAGGGAAAAUAGUGCAGUCUACCUUGGGCGAGUGUCGUGAAGCUUUUGCAAUAUGGAUAAAUAUGGCACAUGAAAUGUUGAAGCAGAAGAACCUUGAAAGACAAGAAGAAGGUCCUUUUACUAGUUUGAUUCAGAAUGGUGAAGCGAAUUUGUUAAGUGAAGUGAAAACUGGGGAAGCCUCAGAUAGGUCAACAAGCCAGUUAAAUGACCAUGGAAGG